rnacentral:lncRNA from 1 species
GUGAAGUAAAUUGCGGUAUUUCAUAAGUUUUAUAGUUGAUGUUCAAAAUAUUAAAAUAUGUCUUUGUCCCGAUUUUGAAAGUGAAACAUUUUUACAUUUAUUGAAUUGUUAAAUGAUGUUUGUGUGUUUCAGAGUUUUUUGUGUGUGUGUCUAAUGCAUAUACUGUAUUGCAUAAUGUCUUUUGAGAGUUAUAAUAAGGGCUUGGGGCUUUCCUUACUAGAAGAGAGCUCCCUGAGUACAUGAUCUUUCUUGUUCACCCUUAUAUGUUCAAGCCUGGAAUAUAGCUCAUGCUCAACAAAUGAAAGACCAAAUUUUCUUUUAUCAGGCCCUUCAACUGAACAAAACAAUGACUGAAACAAACACAAUGGAAUUAAUAUUCUCUUCACAGCUAAACAGAUCUUUUAUUCUCUCUCCCAGGCCUGAGGCCUCAUGCCUGCUGCUUUAGAAGGGUUUCACUAAGUCACUUAACUACCCAACUUGCAACUUUCCUUGCACUUUCCUGCCUCACCCUCCUCAAUUUCUGGGAUUAAAGGCAUCUGCCACCAGUUCUGGC